AACGCACAUUGCGCCCGCCAGUAUUCUGGCGGGCAUGCCUGUCCGAGCGUCAUUUCAACCCUCGAACCCCUCCGGGGGAUCGGCGUUGGGGAUCGGGACCCCUCACACGGGUGCCGGCCCCGAAAUACAGUGGCGGUCUCGCCGCAGCCUCUCCUGCGCAGUAGUUUGCACAACUCGCACCGGGAGCGCGGCGCGUCCACGUCCGUAAAACACCCAACUUUCUGAAAUGUUGACCUCGGAUCAGGUAGGAAUACCCGCUGAACUUAA
rnacentral:misc_RNA from 1 species